UUUUAUAUUUGCAAUGCAGAGACAGAAUAAGCAGUGGCCCCUCUGUUGCAUUCAAGGCAGUUAAUAGCAGGCAUGCUGCUCUGAGAGAAGCAGUCUAUGUUCUUCUGGUGCCUUUCUUCACCUUCAGUCUCCAGGUGCAGGCUGAAGUGCUGAAAGUGUAAUUGAAAAAGCUACAGUUUGGACAGUCCAAUGCAGUGCUGUCAGGUGAGCAUUGUUUCUGUUUCCUGUUUAACAGUUACAGCAACCUAGCACUGAAAGUGCAAGGAGUAUGCUGGGAAAUUACUCCAGGGGAGCAGUGAACCUUGGUUUAUAGCUUAGGACUGUAUGGCAGAAUGCCUGCCUGAAGCAUAGAAAAAUUAGCAGGAGUGUGGAAAGCUCUUUGGAGACGUCGCAGCUGUUGAAGAAAGCAGCUAGCUAGCUGGGUGUCCCAUGAGAAUUUGUCAAGCUGCUAGCAAAACUUCAUGGAAAGCUGGAGAGGCCUUGGCAUGGCUCAUGAGAGGGAGCGAUGUUUGGAAGGUUGGUUAGUUUGGUGUAGAAAUGCCCAUCAUUUGUCCUCAGCAGAUCUUGAUAAGUAUGUAAGCCAUGAAUGCCUACAGCAGAUUGCUUCCUUCUGGAAGAGGCAAGGGGAGGCAGGAAGGGAAGAAGUGCUAGUGGAUUAGACAAGGAUAGUAAUAAGAUUAUACAGACUUGCCUUGUUGCCUAACACCCCUGCACAAGCCAGGAGAUGUCUGCAAACUGGUCACAUUUUCAGCUCAGGUGUGAUACAGAGAAUGAGAAUGACUUACAUGGAACAGAUGAAGACAGAUCCAGGCUCUUCUCUGCACUCCUUAAGAUGUGAACUGGAUUCAACCUGGACCUGUAGCCAUGGCAGUGAAAUGUU